GGAACAUCUCUAAAUUUCGCGAAAUUUGCCAAACGUUGGCCAACUUCUUCACUUGACACAUUGAGCAAUGGAGGAACUUGUGGUCUCCAUGAAGGCACCGAUAUUCGGAGAGAAGGAGGACCCUCAGGCCUCUUAGCAAUUGCAUCAAUGAGAGUUGGCCAUUGCAUACAAUGAGUGAUACUAAAAUCUAAUAUGUGAACUUUUGUUUGCCUUUCAAUGGCCUUAUAAAUAACACUAUUUGAUGCACAAAAUCCAAAU
rnacentral:misc_RNA from 1 species